UUGUAUUAUAUAUAUUUGACAAGGUAAUGAAGUGAGCAACAUAAUGCUACCAAAUACGAAGAACUUUUCAACUCUACUGCUAAAAAAUUGGAAUCGAAAAGUCGUGCUGCGCGUGGUGCACAUUUUUGCAUAUCUUGUGAAUAAUAUUGUGUUUUUUGGAUUUCCUCGGGUAAAAAAGACCUGGGUACCACCCACGACGCCAACAGUGGUUACGCCAAGGACAGCUUCCCCUGCCCCGAGAAGAUAUCCGAUUGCGCUAAAAUUUUGCCAAGAUAUGUACGUUAGAUGACAAUUCAAUAUUUUGGUGGCAGUGAGCUGAUCUGAUGAAUGACGUAAUCGGAUUGGGUGAUCACUGGAACUUGAUGAAGGAACAACGUAAACUUAUUGAAUUUGGGUUCAUCUGUUUGUCUUGACGAGCAUUUUUAUAAAAGCAUGCUUUAAAAAUAUAUUUUUUAAUUAUAAAUAAAAUAAAUAAAAAAGUAAAUAUAUGUUUACACACAGA